UACGGAGGAUGCGAGCGUUAUCCGGAUUUAUUGGGUUUAAAGGGUGCGUAGGCGGACGCUUAAGUCAGCGGUAAAAUUGCGGGGCUCAACCUCGUCGAGCCGUUGAAACUGGGUGCCUUGAGUGGGCGAGAAGUACGCGGAAUGCGUGGUGUAGCGGUGAAAUGCAUAGAUAUCACGCAGAACUCCGAUUGCGAAGGCACCGUACCGGCGCCCAACUGACGCUGAAGCACGAAGGCGUGGGUAUCGAACAGG
rnacentral:rRNA from 1 species